rnacentral:lncRNA from 1 species
GAGGCUGAGGAGUACGUACCAAGGGACAGUUUGUGAGACUCUGGUAGGUCCGUGACUGAGGGCACCCUUGUGGGAUGCUGAGUGUAGCCAUCAGGAAGCUGGGUCCCAGCCAACUCAGCCUGGGCUCUGCCGUUCUCCAGUGGUCAGAUAAGAAAGAGCGGUGUGGUCCUCUAAGGGAGUGAGCGAGGACUGCAGCUGCUUUGAGCCCUGGCCAGAGCCUCCAAUCAACCUUUGGUUCUGAUAAAGACAAGAAACCCAAGUACAACCUGUAGAGCCAGAGGUGGGGGCCAGGAAGCCCUGUUCUAGUCUCUCUGCACAACCUUGAGCCAUCUCAUCAUCUGCACAUCUGCCUGAACCUCAGUCUCCCACUCUGGACGUUGUCGGGGUGAUGGAGCAAGCAUUCAGUUAUUCUCUGCUGGAUUCUGAUGUGGUCUAAAGUCCACACUUUGUUGUGAAACACCGCAAUCUGUGAUGUACAGAACCUAUUACUGCGGCCACCCAGGAAUGCUGGGGGCAGGCCUUUUGAGAAGGUGAAUCAGCGUGUGUUAGCUCAGGGCAGAGGGCCUGGCGGUGAGACGUGAGAACAGCCAAUGUCAUGGCGGUGGGGGAGUGGACGUGAGCCAUCUGGGGCCCAGCAAACAGCAUGUUGAAAAAAACGAGGAACUCAAAGGCAGAUGAGCCUACCACGCUGGGAACAGUUGGGAGUACAUUGCUCAAGCCCCGGCCAGUUUUAUGUCACUGCUGGUGUGAAGCAGUGAACAGUGACCCAGCAUGCAUCCAGGUGGCGGGACAGAGUCAGACUCUCCAGGGCAGAGAGACUCUAAAACUGACGGCCAGGUCUUGCUCAGACUACGGGCCUGAGGGAAGAUCCAAGACUGAAACAGGUGCCGGAGAUUACAUCCAGGUUGCUGGUCUUGGUGGUGAACAAUACCCUUGCUUACCCCCAAGCCUUCUCACUAACCCUGACGCUCUUUAUACAGGGCUUGGAAUGGAGGGGGUGGAGUUGAGGAGAUCACAGAGGACCUAGGAGUGUGUGUAUCGGAGAGAGAUAGGAAACCACUGACCGUUCAGCACACAUUCAGAAUUACUGCCUGUCCCAGGGAGGGACCCACAGCUCCGGCGCUCCGUUCAGCAUCUGGAAGAGCAUAGCUCGCUGUGAGCGGCCGCCCCAGAAGACUGUAUCCCACCCAGCCAGCUCUCCUGCCUGCUUGCCUCUGCCCCACACCAGGACACUUCAUACUGUCAGAACCACUGGGUGUGUGAGCUUGUGAGAGGGUGUGUGGGCACACAUGUCCCUGUGUGGGGUGUGGAGGUCAGAGGGCAACUUGGAGGAAUUGGUUCUCUCCUUCCACCACUGGGGCCCAGGAAUCAAGCCGAGGUUCCCAGACGUGGUAGCAGCCUCCCUUACCUGUUAAACCAGUGCUUCCCAGACUUCCUAAUGCUGUGACCUCAUGCUGUGCUGACCCCCGCCCAUGACAUUAUCUCUGUUGGUAUUUUAUAACUGUAAUUUUGCUACUAUUAUGAAUCACAAUGUAAA